AGUUUGAUCAUGGCUCAGAGCGAACGUUAGCGGCGGGCUUAACACAUGCAAGUCGAGCGAGAAAGUGGCUUCGGCCAUCAGUAAAGCGGCGGACGGGUGAGUAACACGUAGGUAAUCUUCCCUUGAGCGGGGGACAACGAGCCGAAAGGCUCGCUAAUACCGCAUAAGUUCCCAGGGUCCUUGGAUCUUGGGAGGAAAGCUAGGUAGCAAUAUCCGGCACUCGAGGAGGAGCCUGCGUAGCAUCAGCUAGUUGGUGGGGUAAUGGCCUACCAAGGCGAAGACGCUUAGCUGGUCUGAGAGGAUGAUCAGCCACACUGAAACUGAGACACGGUUCAGACUCCUACGGGAGGCAGCAGUGGGGAAUAUUGGACAAUGGGCGCAAGCCUGAUCCAGCCACGCCGCGUGAGUGAUGAAGGCCUUCGGGUCGUAAAGCUCUGUGGGGAGGGACGAACCGCCGUUGGUUAAUACCCAACGGCAUGACGGUACCUCCUUAGCAAGCACCGGCUAACUUCGUGCCAGCAGCCGCGGUAAUACGAAGGGUGCAAACGUUGCUCGGAAUUAUUGGGCGUAAA
rnacentral:rRNA from 1 species